UAAUACCCAAUGCAUUAGUAAUAUAUUUAAUAUCACCAGCGUGUGGGCUUUAAUUAAUAAGUACUUCACUUUGUUUUCAGAUUACACUGGCCGAUGCUUUGAUGCAGACCAGUGUUCCUUGAGAGACGCGGGGGAGAGUUGGACCGUCCAUCGGACCUGUGAGAGAGCUACAUGUGUCAUGGCAACCAACGGUACAUUACUUGAAAAGCGUUCUAGGUGUGCAGAGCCGCCGCCUCUCCUCACCGAGGACUGCUACAUCGUUCGGGUUCAAGGACGACCAUUCCCUGACUGCUGUCCCCAGCUCUACUGCAGCGAAAAAUUAGUGUCAUUCUCAUUACCUUGACAUAGAAGUUUCAGUCAAAAUUCCACUAAAAUGAAAACAAAAAAUAUAUCUACUGAGUGUUUUAACAAUUGUAAUUAAAAAAAAUCAGUUUCAAAAUGUCAUGCUCUUUGAAGAGUACUAAUCUUCAAGUAACACGUGUACAUAAUGUAUUGCUUACGAGUAGUCGCUAAUAAAAUAGUUUGUUUUAAAUAAAGCCGAAAUCAUUGUCUUUUCA